UGCCUCAAAGACGCACCAACGCACAUUGUCAAAGCAAAGAUCUACCUGGUUCUCAAGCCUGGCUUUGAUCAUCUUGGA